GUGUCUUAUAAAAUGGCCAAAAUGCAUUUUCCUUUCCCCACAACUCGAGAUCAUUAUUUGGGAUCAACUCUAGAUUAUGACUACCUGCAUGACCAUCCGGUUUCUAUUUCAAAGUGAUAAGAAAACCGCAGGUGUCAUAACAGUAUUUCACUGAAGGUUCACGUCAAAACAUGGCUGAGCCAAAAUAAUUCCCGAAUUUUCCUUUGAAUUCGGGGCGUUUCCGCACGCGACAGGAGCUGAAUGUUUUUUAUGAGAUGAAAAAAAAUGUGUCAGAGGUCUAACUAUCCAACGUUUGUAAUAAUGCGAGGUCAUUUGAGUUUUUGGUGCGUGUUGUUUCCGGAGGGGGGUGAAAAGGCCCGGGCUUGAUUUUCAAGCACAUGUGUAACUUCGAGGUAAACAAAGUCUCACGCCUUGCUGGAUGCACGUGUGUAUUUUGCUAGAAAAUUGUAAAUGAAGCGUUGUUUAAAAAGAUGUCAAGAGGAUUUUCUCCAGAAGUUCGUUUUGAAUUUUUAAUCUGUAUGUAAAGUUGUGCAAUUUUGGUAAGAAUAUAUAGUAAAAUUCAAUACUGUAGUGACACCUUAAUGAUGCAUAAAUGACAAAAAUUAGAUAUAAAUUUCACAUAGUAAGCAUUUAUCUAGAAAAAUCUCGGGAAAAAGGUAGUUAAAAAUAUUUGAUGGUUCAUUUCCGAAUGGCCAACAAUUAUCGAAUAUUUCAAUUCUUACACUAUUAAUAGGAUUACAAAAAUCCAAUAGAAUUCCCUAUCUUUGUGUGCCAUCAUACAAGAACCAUACGAAUACUUGAUUGGUUGGAAUUGCACGUAAGCAGAAACUAAGAAGCCCUUAUAGUAUUUUUAUUCCAUUACUUAGCCAUCUUCAGGUAGAAUAAAAAAAAUGUCAAUUAGUCUAUGACGAAGAUGUCACAUUUUGCCAAAGAUAAUACAAGCUUAGCAAUCUGAUUCGUUGCUUUAAACUCUCGUCUGAUCAAAUAUUAUUCCAAGGUGUGUCGUUUGGUUAUGUAACCCCAAACUAUUCCAUGCACUGACAAAUGUUUAGAAUAAUAAUUCGUAACAUUUUUAGUCCCAGAAAGGCACGAUUGAGGAAAUAUUUAUAAAUAUGUUGUGCAUUAUAUUAUUCUCACACACUCAGACGUGUUGAUGCCUAUUGCAAACAUUCAUGUAUCAAACUUCUCAGUUAAGCACUGUUUUCUUAAAGCAUCAAGAUUUUAUACACUUAUGAAAAUAUAAGUUUUACUGUAACAUCCAGCACAUAGAUUUACAACCUCUCUUUUUUUUAUUUUAAUUUCUGUUGAAUCAUGACAAACAAAAGAGUUACCAAUGUGUCUUAUAAAACGGCCAAAAUGCAUUUUCCUUUCCUCACAACUCAAGAUCAUUAUUUGGGAUCAACUCUAGAUUAUGACUACCUGCAUGAACAUCCGGUUUCUAUUUCAAAGUGAUAAGAAAACCGCAGAAACACGCAGUGGAUAUGUAGGUUGCUGGUAAGACAGCUCAUCAACAGGAUCAACAAGUGUGAUAGGACGGUCCACGGCUAAACUCCUUGCAGCCAAGGGUUGUUCGGUCUUGGUGACGGGUUCAAGGUCACCUGACGAUGCACAGGAAGCCCUGAAGGAUAUCCAAAGCACGGCUGUUGACAAGGUUCAGUACGUACAAAGCUCCGAGAUGUUACUCAGGUGCUAGAACUGUGCAGACAAGCAGACAAAUUAUUUCCGGAGGGAAUAGAUAUCCUUGUUAACAAUGCUGGUAAACCUUUUGAAUUUCCUGAAGGUUAUAUCGAUGGCAAAUUUGAAAACAACAUGUACACUCUUUGAAAAUGCUGGACCUUAAAAAAAGAUGAAUGUGCUUUACAAUUCAAUUUAAUAUCAGCAAGUUUAAUAUAUAACUCAAAUGGAUAUUCAUGAUUUGAUAUUGAUGAUAUUGAUGUUUUUUAAAUUUUCGUAUGAUUUUUCCUUUCCAAAACUAUGAUAAAAUUAAUAUAUUUUAUAUUUCUAGUGUUUGACCAAGAGGUUAUUGAACAUAAAAGAUACAUAAUUUGGAAUAAAAAUCUUUGUUAUGGCAUAAAAUAUCGUAAAGUGGUUUGUUUCAAAUGGUAUGUAUUGUUAAAUGUGAGAAUCAAAUAUUCUAUUUAAUUGAAUCUAAUUUAUGAAGAUUAUUUACUUAGUUUUUCUGUAAUUAGUAAUUAGUGUAACUAGUAAUUUUAUUUUAUAGCUUUCUUUACUUGAAAUGUAAACAUAAAGGGGUACGAUAAACCAAAUCAAAGUACUGAAAGUACUCUUAGACGGUGGCGCCGUUUAAAAGUGGCAUAUUACAUGUAUGAUAAUUAUUGUUGACGAAAAUCCAAAGCCAGUAUCCCAUACAUGUACUAAUACUUAACGCUUACUCGCACAACUGGUCAUGAGUUUCUUACAUGGAUAAUUCUGUGGAAAUUGUAGUUGUGAUCACAAUCCACACUUUACAAAUGUUGUCUCUCUUUAUCGUCAUCUUUUGGGGAAAACCCAUAGAUUUUUCACAGUAGCCUUUGUAGUAUAGAAGUUUGUAUCUAUGUGUUUGUAUCUAUAUCAGUUGACAUUAAAACUCCGUUUUCGGUAAUACAUGUACUACAUGUUUGUAUUUUGAUUGCCCCAGAAUGACUCAUUAAAUAUGUGGGUUGCCACCACAUAUUGAAUGAAUAAAUCAAAUCCAAAGUGAUUUCAUAACAGUGCGCCCAAAUAUUUGAUUGUAUAAAGGAGGGGAUUUUUGGAGUUUUUCCCUUUUGACCUUUGGGUUGACCCCGUAAAGGGGAACAACUUUUGAAAAGUGUGGAUUGGAUAUAAUAAAUGGAUAAAAUACUUAUCAGGUUUUUACUAAUUAUUUGGUAGACAUGUAGUAUGUUUAUUGUCCCUCUCGACAGCAUUUUCCGUCAAUUUCUUCACGGGGAAAAAGUUGCAAUCUUGUGGACCAUAAACUUGCUUUUGUCUUCAUAGUCAGUUGAUACGUUUAGGUGUAAAGAAAACAGAAUGGUUUACAAGAACCUGUUUGAUAAAACUGGUAUUGCUUUUGGAAUGCACGUCAUAAUGAAACAGAAGAGUCAAUCAAUAUUUUAUAUUUUUUUAUCGACUAAAAAUUUGAAUAAAAAUAUCAUACAAUACUCAGUCGCGGCAGUUUCAUUAAUCAUUAAUUGUAUUUAGCUAUAGAUUCAUUCAAAUCAUUUGAAUGGAUUUGGGAAAGCCACAUGUAUAUUUUAUCGCUUCUCAUUUGCUCACAGCGAAAGUGAAUAAAAAUUUGAAUAAAAAUAUCAUACAAUACUCAGUCGCGGCAGUUUCAUUAAUCAUUAAUUGUAUUUAGCUAUAGAUUCAUUCAAAUCAUUUGAAUGGAACUGGGAAAGUCACAUGUAUAUUUUAUCGCUUCUCAUUUGCUCAUAGCGAAAGUGAAUAAAAAUUGGAAAAAAAAUAUCACACAAUAUUCAGUCGCGGCAGUUUCAUUAAUCAUUAAUUGUAUUUAGCUAUAGAUUCAUUCAAAUCAUUUGAAUGGA